UUGAGAGGCAUCUCUUAAAUAUCAAAGGUGAGCCAGUACAGGAUGGACCCGCGUCUGAUUAGCUAGUUGGUAAGGUAACGGCUUACCAAGGCGACGAUCAGUAGCCGACCUGAGCGGGUGAUCGGCCACAUUGGAACUGAGACACGGUCCAAACUCCUACGGGAGGCAGCAGUGGGGAAUAUUGCACAAUGGGCGAAAGCCUGAUGCAGCAACGCCGCGUG
rnacentral:rRNA from 1 species